rnacentral:rRNA from 1 species
GACGAACGCUGGCGGCGUGCUUAACACAUGCAAGUCGUACGGUAAGGCCCUUUCGGGGGUCCACGAGUGGCGAACGGGUGAGUAACACGUGAGUAACCUGCCCACAACUUUGGGAUAACGCUAGGAAACUGGUGCUAAUACUGGAUAUGUGCUCCUGCUGCAUGGUGGGGGUUGGAAAGCUCCGGCGGUUGUGGAUGGACUCGCGGCCUAUCAGCUUGUUGGUGGGGUAGUGGCCUACCAAGGCGGCGACGGGUAGCCGGCCUGAGAGGGUGACCGGCCACAUUGGGACUGAGAUACGGCCCAGACUCCUACGGGAGGCAGCAGUGGGGAAUAUUGCACAAUGGGCGCAAGCCUGAUGCAGCAACGCCGCGUGCGGGAUGACGGCCUUCGGGUUGUAAACCGAUUUCAGCAGGGACGAAGCUUUUUGUGACGGUACCUGCAGAAGAAGCACCGGCUAACUACGUG